UAUUCUAAGGCGCUUGAGAGAACUCAGGAGAAGGAACUCGGCAAAUUGACACCGUAACUUCGGAAGAAGGUGUGCCCUAGUAAUGUGAUGAGAACAUCUGAGCAUGAAUGGGUUGCAAAAAAUUGGUGGCUGCGACUGUUUAUUAAAAACACAGCACUCUGCAAACACGAAAGUGGACGUAUGGGGUGUGACGCCUGCCCGGUGCUGGAAGAUUAAUUGAUGGGGUGCAAGCUCUUGAUCGAAGUCCCAGUAAACGGCGGCCGUAACAAUAACGGUCCUAAGGUAGCGAAAUUCCUUGUCGGGUAAGUUCCGACCUGCACGAAUGGCGUAACGAUGGCCACACUGUCUCCUCCUGAGACUCAGCGAAGUUGAAAUGUUUGUGAUGAUGCAAUCUCCCCGCGGAAAGACGGAAAGACCCCAUGAACCUUUACUGUAGCUUUGUAUUGGACUUUGAACAGAUCUGUGUAGGAUAGGUGGGAGGCUUUGAAGCAGGGUCGCUAGAUCUUGUGGAGCCAACGUUGAAAUACCACCCUGGUGUGUUUGAGGUUCUAACCUAGGUCCAUUAUCUGGAUCGGGGACAGUGCAUGGUAGGCAGUUUGACUGGGGCGGUCUCCUCCCAAAGUGUAACGGAGGAGUUCGAAGGUACGCUAGGUACGGUCGGACAUCGUGCUAAUAGUGCAAUGGCAUAAGCGUGCUUAACUGCGAGACUGACAAGUCGAGCAGAUGCGAAAGCAGGACAUAGUGAUCCGGUGGUUCUGUAUGGAAGGGCCAUCGCUCAACGGAUAAAAGGUACUCUGGGGAUAACAGGCUGAUACCGCCCAAGAGUUCAUAUCGACGGCGGUGUUUGGCACCUCGAUGUCGGCUCAUCUCAUCCUGGGGCUGUAGCCGGUCCCAAGGGUAUGGCUGUUCGCCAUUUAAAGAGGUACGUGAGCUGGGUUUAAAACGUCGUGAGACAGUUUGGUCCCUAUCUUCCGUGGGCGCUGCAGAUUUGAGGAAGCCUGCUCCUAGUACGAGAGGACCGGAGUGGACGCACCUCUGGUGUACCGGUUGUCACGCCAGUGGCAUUGCCGGGUAGCUAAGUGCGGAAGAGAUAACCGCUGAAAGCAUCUAAGCGGGAAACUCGUUCCAAGAUGAGAUCUGCCGGGGCCUUGAGCCCCCUAAAGAGUCGUUCAAGACCAGGACGUUGAUAGGUCAGGUGUGGAAGCGCAGCAAUGCGUUAAGCUAACUGAUACUAAUUGCUCGUGCGGCUUGACC
rnacentral:rRNA from 1 species